ensembl:miRNA
UCCUCAACUCCCUGUUCAGGCGCCAGCUGUCGGAGUCAGAGAGUUCUCCAAUGAACAUGGGCAGAGGAGAAGCCA